CUCUCAGAUUUUUGGGCUUUCCCUCUGACUUUCACACAAUUAAUUGAUUAUUACGUCAAAAACUUGAAGGCUCAUUCAUAAUAGCAAGGAAUCAGAAAAGGCAUCGGUCUCUCAAUAUUCUCCGAAAAUCGUUCCAAAAUAAUUCUCACUGCUUCAAAUUCGGCGAACAUAAAUCAACAAUGAACAGAACAGCUUCCAUUGCAGCGACACCAAAAAUUGAUAAUAAAUCGACAAUCAACAAGGAGAAGAAACAACCCAACAACCGUUUCAAGCAAAAUCUCAAUUCCAGAUGCAAUAACGAGAAGAAAUCAAUUUAACCAUCUGUGAGAAAGAUAUGAAGGCCUUAGAUUGGUUUUCCCGUUUUUGAGUCGCAGACGUCGAAGCAACAAUUUACCCGAGCGUGGGGAUUCUGGGUGAAACUUUAUUCUCCUCUUGUUCUUCCUUUCCAUUUGACUUUCACAUCAUUUGUCCUAUGGAAAGAGGGGAAAAACAGAGAAUAGCAUCUCCAACCGGUGGAUUUAUAAAAUUUAUAAUUCUAUUUCUACAAAAAGUGAUGGAUUUAUUAGAGUGACAGAAUGAGCUAAUCAACAAAAGGAAAGUGUUUUUCUUGUGAUUUUAUUGGAUAAAAGAAUGACAAUUCAGGAGAAGAUAUAAGAGAGAAGAAAUGUGAUAUGUCAAGACGAUGGUAUGGUAAAAUCUAGCUUUUUUAUUUCUAUUUUUAUAUUUUCUAUGACCUUUUGCUGAAGAGAACAUACAUGAUAAAUAGAGGUUCACAAAUUUUAAAAAAAGGUUAAAUAGUGUAUUUCUUCCCUCAUUUUGCAGCUUAUUUUAUAAGUAUUAGUUAUGAAUCUAAUGAUUGUUCUUUAGCUGUGUGAUAGUAAAAAUGCAGAAAAGAUAGUGUAACAACAACAAUUCCUCAACUGAACCAGAAGACAAUAAAUAAAGGGUGAAAAAGUUUAUAAGAGACAUCAGAGUGAUAGGAAAAUCUUUGUUAAGGUAUUAUUCUGUUAAUUUUUUAGAAUGGGAAGAAUAUUUUAGGUGUAUAUCAGUCCUAAGUUUCCUCUGGUAUGUAAUAAUAAUAAUCAUUUUACUUUUCCUUUACCCUUUAAGACCGAUUUUUUGAUGACCACUUGUGUUACCUUUGCAUCUUUGCCUUCUUCCCUUGGUUCUUUUCACCUUUCUGGCUUUGCUUCUGCCUGUUGCAAGAAGAUAUUCAACGAAUCUCAGGUGACGAUGGCUGAUUACUAAUGCGUCUUCUGAUAUGUUCAUUUCAUUUGUUAAAUGCUGACUAAUCUGGAGAUUUCACGCUGAGCCAUGUUCUUUUUUGUUUAAUAUGAUAGAUGGAGGCAUUUUUCCUUGGAAAAGCUCGAUUUGUUAGGAUACUUGUCUGUCUUCAUUGUUAGGAGUAAAUUUUUCAUUUUCUGCCCGUGCUUCUUGAUUUGAAAAUUGUCGAAUGCUAUCCUAAUGACUUUAUUUGUGAAAUAAUUUGUUUGUUAAUUAAACAGUGUGUCGUUACCCAAAGUUUGUGAUAGCAGAUUUGAAUGUUUUUGUAGUUUGAGUGCAAUGGCAUUCUCUUGAUUGAUUCUUAAAUUACUAUGUCAUUUGUUUAUGUAGAACUUGGAUGUGAAUUGAAUUUUUUUACUAAAAGAGAAUGGCUUAGCUUGCAAGUUGCAGUGUAUGUGUAUAAUAAUAUAAUACUUUGUAGAUGACUAUGUGGUUGAUCAUUUUUUUGGAAAAUAUGUGAAUUGUCUGUGUAGAAUCCAUCUAUUAUGACUCUAUUAUUUGAGUACCUCAAUCUAAUAUGACACUGUUUCUUUACCUUCCUGUAGGUAUUUGAUCUAACUGUGGGACGGAAAUUUUGAUAGGUAACUUGCAGAGGAGUUGCAGAUGGUCGUGACUGAAGUGGAACCACUGAGACCAAUGAGGUGCAUAAUUGAAACCAUAUAAAAUGUCUCAAGGUGUCUUUUAUUACUUAAAUAACUGUUCAUCUCUUAAGUUAUUUGAUUGUGCCAAAAGGUUUCGGUAGUUCUCUGCCUCUCUCAUAUUGCAUACCUGGACUCUGCGACAUAGUAUAUCUGAGCAAUUUUUGGACUAAGCAAUAGUCCCUGAAAACUAUAAUCCUCAAACAUUUUUAAGUACUCAGUCUCCCUUUAAUAUACCACGUUGGUAUCAGUGCCAACUUGCGCACCAGAGAGCUGUUGGGAUGGAGCAUGAAUUGUUCACAUCAUAUGAUGAAGUUUACAACAGUUUUAAUGCAUGUGUGUGCAAGAAAAUCUUGUGAGGAAAAUCUAUGCCUAUGGUUUUGAGAAUUCUUUUGCUAUUCAACAUAUGACUAUUCUUCUCUACAAAGUCUUGAUGCUAAUCAACAGGCACAAAUAAACCUCUAGGGUACAAUUUUGCAUGUAACAAACACUACUUGUUAAGAUGGUUGUUGCUGUUCUUGUCACUACUUGUAAUUACAGAAUACACCCUUUUCUUCUCAUGUUUCUCUAAUUUCUUCUGGAAGUAUGUUCCAUUACAACCCUCAGUGUGGCAUCCCUCAGUGGCUGCAAGAUUUUUGUGUUCUUUUAGCAUGAAAAGUCCAUGAACUUGCGCAGAUUGGUGUUUAACAUGUAGUUGGUUCGCACUUGUGAUAACUUACCUUUUCGCUGCCCGGAUGGUUGGUCUGAUGGUGCUGUGCAUUAGACAGUGUACAUGCUUUUGCUGUCUAAAUUGGUAUGAUCAUCCCUGUCUUGCAUUCCUCUUAUAUUUAGUGUUGCUCCUAGUAGGAGAAGAAGAUUUUAUUGCUUAUGUGUACAUCUAAAGUGCAUCGCAAACCUUCUUAGUUGUGUUUAACUGAUUGUAUGCAUACCUCACUCUCCUCUUAUCUGAUUUAUCGUCGUUAGGGUUUGUUUUAUUAGGUUUCGCAUGACACCUUGUCAUUCAACCACAACAUACGUAUGACUAGUGAAAUAAAUUAAUGGUGAAUCUUGCUCUAUUUGAUAUUCGAUCUCUCAAUUCAAUGGAAGUACAAGCUGUGCCAAGGAAAAUAAAAGAUUGGUCAACAAAGAUAAAUAACAGCUCGAUCAUUUGUUUACCCCUUGUUUUUGGUUUUUUUCUGCUUUCAUUUACCUAUAAGAAAGAUCAAGAAAUCGAGAUUCUAUAACGUUUUAGCCACUUCGUUGUAUCAAGAAA